rnacentral:rRNA from 1 species
CAGCCGCCGCGGUAAUACGAAGGGUGCAAGCGUUACUCGGAAUUACUGGGCGUAAAGCGUGCGUAGGUGGUUGUUUAAGUCUGCUGUGAAAGCCCUGGGCUCAACCUGGGAAUUGCAGUGGAUACUGGGUCACUAGAGUGUGGUAGAGGAUAGUGGAAUUUCCGGUGUAGCAGUGAAAUGCGUAGAGAUCGGAAGGAACAUCUGUGGCGAAGGCGACUAUCUGGGCCAACACUGACACUGAGGCACGAAAGCGUGGGGAGCAAACAGGAUUAGAUACCCGCGUAGUCCCUGUCUCUUAUAC